rnacentral:rRNA from 1 species
UACGUAGGCAGCGAGCGUUGUUCGGAGUUACUGGGCGUAAAGGGUGUGUAGGCGGUUGUUUAAGUUCGGUGUGAAAUCUCCUGGCUCAACUGGGAGGGUGCGCCGGAAACUGGAGUGCUUGAGCGUGGGAGAGGAAAGCGGAAUUCCUGGUGUAGCGGUGAAAUGCGUAGAUAUCAGGAGGAACACCUGUGGUGUAGACGGCUUUCUGGACCAUAGCUGACGCUGAGACACGAAAGCGUGGGUAGCAAACAGG